UACGUAGGGGGCAAGCGUUGUCCGGAAUCAUUGGGCGUAAAGAGCGUGUAGGCGGCCCGAUAAGUCCGCUGUGAAAGUCCGGGGCUCAACCCUGGAAUGCCGGUGGAUACUGUCGGGCUCGAAUCCGGAAGAGGUGAGUGGAAUUCCUGGUGUAGCGGUGAAAUGCGCAGAUAUCAGGAGGAACACCAAUUGCGAAGGCAGCUCGCUGGGACGUUACUGACGCUGAGACGCGAAAGCGUGGGGAGCAAACAGG
rnacentral:rRNA from 1 species